rnacentral:tRNA from 1 species
GGGCCUGUAGUUCAGUCUGGUUAGAAUGCUCGACUGAUAAUCGAGUGGUCAUCGGUUCAAAUCCGAUCAGGCCCA